UCCUACGUGGAUGAAGAGAGUAAAAAAACACUUCACCUUGGUGCUUAUAAAAAUGAUACCUGAAUGGUCAAAGCAAAAGCCUAUGGAUGUAUAUUCCCCUGGUGCAGUAUUCCAUAACCACAUAGACCCAUGGAAGAGAGCAGCUGCCUGCUUUACCCGGUUUUAUUUCUUGUCAGAGGUUGUGUAAUGUGCCUGUAUAAAGGAAGAAAUGGCUCCAAUAGCUUGAAGAAGAGUUCUCCACCUGCUAGCAAAAGCAAAGAGUUUAUUUGAUAACAGAUGGUAAAACUGCAAAAUUUUCUCCGCUUCAUUAGUGCCCCUGGCAAGUCUUCCUAUAUAAGGGGCUGCAGAGAGAUCCCUAAAUCAUGGUGCAUCAUGCUGACCCUGGACUCCAAGGCAUGAGGACAACAUAUGGUUAUUUCCUACCAGGAACUGGCUUCCAACAAUGUCAGAAACUCGUCCUUCAAAAGUCACCCACUGAGGAAAGAAGAUUCUUCUGCAGGACG